UCAUAACUUGUGAUCUUCUAAGUUUUAUGA
rnacentral:piRNA from 1 species